UAAUUAUCUGAACAAAUAUCUUAACUAAUUAAUAUCUGAAAUUUAGGUUAUAUUCAAAUAUUAAACUAAAGUACUAAGUAUAAUGUUUCUAAACUAUUGAUCAUAGAAAUGCAAAAGUGUGAUUAUAUAGCCCUUAUAAGAGAAAUGUAAUUUUUGAGAGGGAAAAAAGUCAGUUUAAUUUUAAACAAAACAAUUGAAAAUAAUAUAAAGCUAUUUUUAUGUAAGCAUAAGCACAAAUUACUCUAUGGUGAAAUAUUUAUCACAACAAAAUCUAUAGAAUUUUUUUUCUUCUGAAAAGCAAAGAAGAUAAUAGUUUACAAUCAGGUGCCCUCUCUGGUAAUUUGAAGGUAAACCAAUAUAUAUAUAAAUAUGUUUGAGCAAUGUGAAUAGUUGGUUUUUAUUAGUACUAACCGGUUAAUACUAAUAAUAACCAAAUAAGCUGAUUAAGGGGAAUAAUUAACGUGAAUUGAUCACAUCAGUUGGUUAUUAUUAAUAAUAAUACCAAUGAAGUUUGGUCAAUGUCAUUCUUUCACGUUUUGAUUGGGAAUAUUUUCGUAUCGUGAUCUGCCGCACCAAAUACAAUCGUCAAGGCGCUAGAUUGAUUUUAAACUGGAAGAAAAAUUUGAAAGAAAACAUGUAGAUGUUUUCCUGGGGGGGGGGUGAGAUUACAAGUUAUACCCUACGAGUUGGUCCCUUUCUGUGAUGUUUUUCUUUAUUUUGUCAUAGGCUGCUGCUUGGAAGUUGCCCACACUUGGCGAUUAUUCUGUCACUAAUCAUAAUACAGAAAUCUCCCCUUUUUAUUUCUCAUUUUGACCAAAAGAAGCAGUUACUAUUGUUAUGCCCUGUUAGUAAUAAUAAUAACCGAAUUUAUUACUUUAAUCCUAACAUAUAUAAUUGAAAAUGAAACAAGAACAAAUCACAAUUAGAAACAAAAGUUGCAAUAACCUGAAGAUAUUGAAAGCAAAGACUAACAAGGUUACUAGAAACAGGGUUUCAGCAAAACUGAGCAAAAAUUAUUGCCAAACCAAGAAGCCACUAAUGCUACACCUUAACCGUAAAUUAAAUUAAAAUUUUAUGAAGAACUUGAUUAAAUUUGUGUAAAACAUCUUAAUAUAAUUUGCUUGAUCCAAAUAUUUAUCUUUUAAAUAUUCAAUUUCUUCAUAAAAGUUACAACUAGUGAUAGUUGUUUAUCAAAUUUUUUUCAGUUUUUAAUUGUUGCUAAGAGAAUUGGUAAAUAUAAUAUCUCGUCCUCAGUUUUACAUAACCACUGAUAAAUGCUUAAAAAAUUUGACAAAACUAUUUCAUUUGUAAUGUGCAUGUUAUAAUAAAUUUGUCUGCUCUGUAAUCUAGUGAAGUAAAUUUGUGAUUCCCAUUAAUGUUAAAAUAAUUUGAAAUAAAAACCAUUUUUUGAAGGAAAGAAGUUAAAAUAUUUUUUAUACUUGAUAUAAUGAACAUGUUCAGCCUUUAUUUUUGUUUACUUUUUGUCUUUUAUAAAAUAUUUUACAAAUACUUUUUAUCCUUAUUUGAGUGUAUUUCUUAUGACAUUCAUUUUAAAUUUAAAUGAAUGCUAGGCUUAGUAUUUAUGUUUGCUUAGUAUGACAAAAUGACAACAAAUAACAAAAUUACUGGUUAAAAAAAUUAUUUGUAGUCUUUAUAUUUGUAAAAAAAAUUCUCAUUAUAUAAACUUUUAAAUCUAUAUUGUUCUCUAUAUACUAUCUCUCUAUAUUGUUUCAUACAAUAUAUGUUUGAUAUUACACUUAUAUGAUAUACUUUUUAAAUAAUUGAAAAAAGUACUUGAAAUUUGAGGGAGGGAAGUGUCUUCAUAAAGCAUUUGUGCACAGAAUGUUAUCAACUUUGCAACAAGGAUGGGAAAUUUUUUGGUUUUAAAUUGUGGGAAUGUGCAUAUUUUUUUUAUUUAAAUUAUUUGAAUAUUUACAUGAUUUUUAAAUCAUGCAACUACGAAUCUCGACAUUUAAUUUUAAAAUCGCCUAAAUCCGAAUCUCUAUGUUUGAUUUUAAAAUCUUGUGAAUUGUGUAAAUACGAAUCUCGAUAUUUGAUCUUAAGUAUACCUACUAUACCCUAUGCUUUUAUUUUUCAGUAUUUUACAAGAAAAGUGGAAUAUACCAAUGUACUUUUUGCCAGUAUUCUAAUAUUGAUAAAGCGAAGUUGAAAAUGCACAUCAGAGUUCACACUGGGGAAAAACCCUUCCAAUGUACCUAUUGUAAAAAACGUUUUUCACAAAAAUCUAAUUUGAAAGGUCAUAUGAUUAUUCAUUACAGGGAGCAAAUGCUGUGAAAUGUGUAAAUGCCCGUUCAAAGAAAGGUACUAGGAAAAGACAUCAGUGUUCCAUAUGCAGUUACUCUACCACUCAUGUAACAGAUUUAAUCAGGCAUUUUAGAACUCACACUGGUGAAAAACCUUUUCUUUGUGUGACCUGUGGUAUGCGUUUCUCCGUGAAAUCUGCUUGGACGAGACAUAAGAAUAGGACAUCCUGUUUCAAGAAAGGAAAGUGCAUCCCAAAAAGUUGAAGAGACCUCUUCUCCUCUGGUACUGUUUUAAUGUUUUGAACGGAAAUAUAACUAUUGAUUACAUUAACAAAAACACUUUAAAUUUGUCUUUCAGGGGAAAAAAACAUUUUAAUCACAAAAUGAACUUGAAACAACGUAGGACUAUAAUACGUGUGGUUAAUGGUCUUAAUUGUUAUUCAACUUACUGUUUUCGGUAUUUCUUUUUUUUAAAUAUACUUUAUUGACUAUUUUGACCAAACUGUCAUGUUGUUUUUCUAUAUUUUUGUUAAAGUCUAAUUUAUGUGGUAUAUUUGAGGUAUCUAAUUCAAUAUGAAUUUACCAGUUUCAAUUCCAGCAAUUUUUUUAACCACCUAUAGUUUGCUGUUUUAUAUACUAAAUGAGAAUCAGUGUCUGAAAUUUAUUUUAAUGCAUGCUAAAUAUUUUAAAUCGUAAAAGUGUUCGAAGCUCUAAGGACAUAUUUUUCUUUUCCUCACAUAUAUGUUUUGAAGUAAAAUGUGUAACACAUUUUAAUGUGUUAUUCUUUAAAAUAUAAUUAUAAUUGGUUAACUUAUUUUAUUUAGUAUAUUAAAAAAUCUGUUACCGUUUUAUUUGUACUUCUGUUAAGCUACCUUGCUUAUUUUGAUUUGUGAAAAUUAUAUAAAAAUAUAUUAUGUGUUUGUAACAUUCCUCUGAAACAUUCUAAUUUGUUAUUCCUUCAAUUAUAUUUGUAAGUUUUUUGUUGAUCAUGCUAUUCAAAUAGUGCCUUUCUAAUGCUAAUGAUUUUUAACAUGAUAUUAGUAACACAUUUUAAUGUGUUAUUCUUUAAAAUUUAAUUGUAAUUGGUUAACUUAUUUCAUUUAGUAUAUUAAAAAAUCUGUUUCCGUUUUAUUUGUACUUCUGUUAAGCUACCUUGCUUAUUUUGAUUUGUGAAAAAUUAUAUAAAAAUAUAUGAUUUGUUUGUAACAUUCCUCUGAAACAUUCUAAUUUAUUAUUCCUUCAUUUAUAUUUAUAAGUUUUUUGUUGAUCAUGCUAUUCAAAUAGUGCCUUUUUAAUGCUAAUGAUUUUUAACAUGAUAUUAUUAUGUUCUAUAGUUGCAAGCAAUAUGUUUAUUCUCUUUUUUAUGAAUUAAUUUUUUCUACCAUAAAUAUCUUCAACUGUUGUUAAAGCUUCUGAAUAUUGAAAUUUACAAGUUAAUUACUUUUUUUACACUAUAGUAUUUUUUAAACCAAAAAAAAUCUCUCCUUCUAAUUUUUAGUGUGUUAAUACUUGCUAUAUUCUUCCAAUUAAUUAGCCAUUGUACUGCUACUUUUAAGCAAGUUAAAUUUAUUAUUUGUCUGAAUUAUAUUAAUAGUUUGCUAAUAGCUAAUUAAUAAUUUGCGGAUAUUAAUAAUAGUUUCUCAUCCAUUAAGUCAAAGAAAAUUUAUUGGUUUUGAAAAAAUUCAUAAUAAAAUUAAAUCCUAGUUGCAUUGUAUGUAAAUUUGAGUACAAAAUGUUCAUGUUAUUACAAUUCGAUUGAUUGUUAUUAAAAUUUGAUCAUGUUAUGAUAAAUUUCUGCCACUAUUCUGGCCUUGGUUCAUAUCGAGGUACAGUAGAGAACCGAUUAUCCGGAACGAUCGGGACCAUCGCUAUUCCGGAUAACUGAUUUUUCCCGUUUUCUGAAUCAAAACCGUUUUUUUAUGGUCAAACUCAACUAAAAAAAAUAUAUAUAAUUAGAAUAAUUUUAAAAAACUCUUACUUCUUUUGACAGUGUAGGGAACUGAUGAUUAUUUCUAAAAUGAUGGUAAACAUCUUUGAAAAAAGAAAGAAGAAUUCUGAAAUCGUUUGAGGGGAAAAAAAUGGUGGGAAAAUGUAUCAAAUUUCGUUCUGGUUUUCUGAUUUCCGGCUAAGAGGUUCUAUACUGUAUUUAACAUUGUUUGCUACUUUAUUUGAUACAAAUGUGUUUCUAAUAUUUAUUUAAAACUUUUUCUUGUAACGGGAAAAUGGCAUUAACAUGCAUAAAUCAAAAUGCUUUAAAAGAAUAUUAAUUGUUUAUUUUGUGUUUUUCAUUUUAGGUUUUAAAAAAAGUUUAGCUUUAAGUUUAUUGAAGUGCAAAUUGUGUAAUGUGUCAUUUACAUGUUAAAAUAAAGUUGCUAUUUUUUAUAAACAA
rnacentral:lncRNA from 1 species